rnacentral:rRNA from 1 species
UACGAAGGGGGCUAGCGUUGUUCGGAAUCACUGGGCGUAAAGCGCUCGUAGGCGGAUCUUUUAAGUCAGAGGUGAAAUCCCAAGGCUCAACCUUGGAACUGCCUUUGAUACUGGGGAUCUCGAGUCCGGGAGAGGUGAGUGGAACUGCGAGUGUAGAGGUGAAAUUCGUAGAUAUUCGCAAGAACACCAGUGGCGAAGGCGGCUCACUGGCCCGGUACUGACGCUGAGGAGCGAAAGCGUGGGGAGCAA